AUUGAAAAAUGAUCAUAUAUUCUCUGUUUUUUUUAUACUAUUAAUUAUUUUUCCUAUAUCGGAAGGAAUGAAAUCUCCAUAGAGACAACU